ACGGAGGGUGCAAGCGUUAUCCGGAUUCACUGGGUUUAAAGGGUGUGUAGGCGGGUGUUUAAGUCAGUGGUGAAAUCUCCAGGCUCAACCUGGGAACUGCGUCCGAUACUGGAUGGCUUGAAUCCGGGAGAGGGAUGCAGAAUUCCAGGUGUAGCGGUGAAAUGCGUAGAUAUCUGGAGGAACACCGGUGGCGAAGGCGGCAUCCUGGACCGGCAUUGACGCUGAGGAGCGAAAGCCAGGGGAGCAAACGGGA
rnacentral:rRNA from 1 species